CAAAAGCGUAUAUUAAAGUUGUUGCAGUUAAAAAGCUCGUAGUUGAACCUUGGGCUUGGCUGGCCGGUCCAUCUUUUUUGAUGCGUACUGGACCCAGCCGAGCCUUUCCUUCUGGCUAGCCUUUUGGCGAACCAGGACUUUUACUUUGAAAAAAUUAGAGUGUUCAAAGCAGGCCUUUGCUCGAAUAUAUUAGCAUGGAAUAAUAGAAUAGGACGUUAUGGUUCUAUUUUGUUGGUUUCUAGGACCAUCGUAAUGAUUAAUAGGGACGGUCGGGGGUAUCAGUAUUCAGUUGUCAGAGGUGAAAUUCCUGGAUUUACUGAAGACUAACUACUGCGAAAGCAUUUACCAAGGACGUUUUCAUUAA
rnacentral:rRNA from 1 species